rnacentral:rRNA from 1 species
GACGAACGCUGGCGGCGUGCCUAAUACAUGCAAGUCGAGCGCAGGAAGCCAUCUGAACCCUUCGGGGGGACGACGGUGGAAUGAGCGGCGGACGGGUGAGUAACACGUAAAGAACCUGCCCAUAGGUCUGGGAUAACCACGAGAAAUCGGGGCUAAUACCGGAUGUGUCAUCGGACCGCAUGGUCCGCUGAUGAAAGGCGCUCCGGCGUCGCCCAUGGAUGGCUUUGCGGUGCAUUAGCUAGUUGGGGGGGUAACGGCCCACCAAGGCGACGAGGCAUAGCCGACCUGAGAGGGUGAUCGGCCACACUGGGACUGAGACACGGCCCAGACUCCUACGGGAGGCAGCAGUAGGGAAUCUUCCACAAUGGACGAAAGUCUGAUGGAGCAACGCCGCGUGAACGAUGAAGGCUUUCGGGUCGUAAAGUUCUGUUGUAAGGGAAGAACAAGUGCCGCAGGCAAUGGCGGCACCUUGACGGUACCUUGCGAGAAAGCCACGGCUAACUACGUGCCAGCCGCCGCGGUAA